rnacentral:rRNA from 1 species
CCUACGGGUGGCAGCAGUGAGGAAUAUUGGUCAAUGGGCGAGAGCCUGAACCAGCCAAGUCGCGUGAAGGAUGAAGGAUCUAUGGUUGGUAAACUUCUUUUAUAUGGGAGUAAAGUGAGGAACGUGUUCCUAUUUGUAUGUACCAUAUGAAUAAGCAACGGCUAACUCCGCGCCAGCCGCCGCGGUAAUACGGAGGAUGCGUGCGUUAUCCGGAUUGAUUGGGUUUAAAGGGUGCGUAGGUGGUGAAUUAAGUCAGCUGUGAAAGGUUGUGGCUCAACCAUAAAAUUGCCGUUGAAACUGGUUGACUUGAGUAUAUUUGAGGUAGGUGGAAUGCGAGGUGUAGCGGUGAAAUGCAUAGAUAUCACGCAGAACUCCGAUUGCGAAGGCAGCUUACUAAACUAUAACUGACACUGAAGCACGAAAGCGUGGGGAUCAAACAGGAUUAGAUACCCGAGUAGUC